UUUCCUGCAGGACAGCUGGGUGGGACAGAGCCUGCCCAGCAAAGCUGGGGGGGCUCUGGAGUGACCUGUGCCAGGAGCAGUGCCAGCCCUGCCCUGCUGAGGCAGCCUGCCCCUGCCCCACGCUGGGGUCCCAGCCAGCCAGGCCAGAUGUUUGAAGGGAAAGGAAUAAAUUCUCUUUUGGGGAUCCUCUUUCUGCUGGACAUGGAAUAUCCAAACAGAACAAACCUGCUGCCCCGAGGGCCAGAGGUUCAGCUGUGUGGAAGUCAACUGACAUGUCAGGAGGGAGAGCAGAGCGCUGGAAAUGGCUGGAGCAAAGCUGGACACAAGGGAGCCGGGAGCUCUCCGGACCCCCAAAGCAGCACUGCUGUGUCCUGAGGGUGGAUCACAACCCUCCCCAUCACCCAGACCUGCCAAAGGCAGCUGGCAAGGCUGGCCCGUGCUAAAUGCUCCAUCCCAUUUCAUUGUUUUGCCUGCUUUGCUUCAAAAGAACCCCCGGAAUAAAACUUCAAAACCAA